CAGCAGCCGCGGUAAUACGUAGGUGGCAAGCGUUGUCCGGAAUUAUUGGGCGUAAAGCGCGCGCAGGCGGUUUCUUAAGUCUGAUGUGAAAGCCCCCGGCUCAACCGGGGAGGGUCAUUGGAAACUGGGAAACUUGAGUGCAGAAGAGGAGAGUGGAAUUCCACGUGUAGCGGUGAAAUGCGUAGAGAUGUGGAGGAACACCAGUGGCGAAGGCGACUCUCUGGUCUGUAACUGACGCUGAGGAGCGAAAGCGUGGGGAGCGAACAGGAUUAGAUACCCCGGUAGUCCCUGUCUCUUAUAC
rnacentral:rRNA from 1 species